AUACACUAAGGAGAUAUUAAAUUACGUUUUAUUUCCUUGUUAUGAAGGUUGAUAUUGGUUUCAGGUAAGAUGAUCUAAGAUUAAGAUUUCCAUUUCAUAUUGUAUAUACAUUUUUGACAUAUUGCAUUCGAAAGUUUAAUAAAAGCUGUUAUGUUCUAGAGAUAAUAGGAUUCUAUUGAUAUAAACUUUUUUCAAAAUGUUUGUCUGGUUAAGUAUGUAGGGACAAUUUUUGCAUGGUCAUGUAUUAAAAUGAAAAAUAACACAAAAUAUUACCUUAAAAUAGAUGAUUUGAUAAUUGUUUGAAAGCAAUUGAAUUUAUUUGAGCAGAUAGAUAUGGUAUCAUUAAAUUUUUGUUUUAUAGUACAGCAGAUUUGAUUUAAAAUUAUCGAUCGUGUCGAUACAACAUGUAAUACGGGCAAGGUCAAAUAUGCUAUUUAUCUGUUAUACUGAACUAAGCAAGUCUUGCACUGUUUUUUACGAUUAGGUGAAUUGGACUUAUAUUUUUUAGCAUUAUACUCGGUAUUUAUUUUUUUCUAAAACAAAGGGUAUAAAGUGUGGAAUAAACUGCAAUCAACAUAAAGAAUAAAGCCGAUGUCUCAGGUUAUAACGGCAAAGUUAAAAUGCUAUUGAUAAACUAUACUUAACUAAGCAAGUAUUGUACAUUUAAUAAACAUCUGAUUGUAAUUUAUGUUACUUCUAAGCCGUAAGAGAAUUAAUCACUCGUUUUCCUCAAAAAUAUAACGUAAAGAUUCUAGAAUUUAAUGAAUAUCGACAAAUAGGAAAUAAAUCAGGAAUAAAGAAUAAUGAUGUGCUAAAAUGUAAAGGAUAGUGAAAAAAUAAAGACAUAGGAGAGAAAAUGAGAAAAAAACAUAAACAUAAAGAAAUGAAGGACCCCAUCACGACCCUCAAGGACUGACUGACGGAAAGUGUGGCAAACUUUAAAUUAUCUGAUAAAAGUAACUGUUAGCUUGAGUAUAGUGCCAACAAAUCAAAUUAUGAAACCUUUUAGGUGUGUGUCUGUUUUCGUAAUUCUGUGAUUGAAAUUAGCACUUUUUUAUUGUGUAGGCCAGACACGUUUUUGUCUACAAAAUACAAAAACCAGUGACGUUAAAAAAAGUUAAAAAAAAAAGAAACAAACAGAAUUGAAGUGCAAAGAGGACCAAAAAAGGUCAAUAGUUUUCACUAGCUAAAGAAAGUUUGAACACAGAAUCAGUAUUUAAAUCAUAUUAAGGAAACUAUUUCCAGAGUCGAAUAUUUUAGCAUUUUAUUGGUUUCAAAUUUGAAAUUUUGAGAUGUCACUUCAAUCGUUCUAGAGUUAUGACCCUUUACAAAUGGAAAAAAAUGCUGAUUUUGUUUUUAUUUCGUUCUCUUUUAUCAGUUUGCAGCAAACAAAUAUUAUGAAACUUAUAUAUGCUUAUUACCACAAAACACUGAUCCUGUUUUAAUUUUGGAGGUGUCACUCUAAACGUUCUAAAGUUAUGCUCCUAGAAUUAUGCACAUUUACAAAUGGAAAAAUUGUUGAAUGUUUCGUUUUAGUUCGUUAACUUUAGUUUGCCUCUGUCUAAUGUUAUAAAACUUAUAUACAAUGCUUAUUACAACAAUACACAGAUCAAGAUGGAAUGUUGUUGGUAUCACUUUUACUGUUCUAGAAUUAUGUCCCUUUACAAAAGGUAAAAUUGCCUAAUUAUCUAAGGUGUUGGUUAUUAGUUUUGUCGGAAAAAUCAGGUCUUGGUUGUAAGUGUUGUCGAGGGAGUCGGGUGUUUAUGGUUAGUGUUGUCAAAGGAGUCUGGUGUUGGUGGUUAGUUGUGUCGAAUUUGUUUUGGUGUUGGUGGUUUAUAUUGUCGAAGCGGUCGAGUUUUGAUGAAAAAUGUUAUCUAAUAAGACUGAGGAGUCAUAUAACAGCUUCGUAUUCAUGAUGUUAUGAUAAAAAUAUAUAACUUGAUACAUAUUUCAGGUUAUCACCAUGGCUACUAGUACAGCUCUUUGUGGUCCAUGUUCAGAGCGACAUAUAACCAAACAAUCAACAUACUGGUGCUCGGAGUGUGAAGAAGCCAUUUGUGACGACUGCCAAGAACAUCAUACAGUACUCAAAGCCACACGAAGUCACCAACUCAUACCAAUUGACAAGUACAAAUCUCUUCCGUCCUUCAUUACUGAUAUACAGCAGUCAUGUACCUAUCACAAUGAAAAGUAUCAACAAUACUGUGUUGCACAUGCGUUACCUAUUUGUUUAAAAUGCAUUAAAGAACAUCAGAAAUGCAACGUCAUUCAUCUUGAUGAGGUCAUAAACAACGCUAAGACAUCCGGGCAAUUUCAAGAUUUAGAAACUAACAUUGAUGGACUUAUUACAGAACAUUGAUAGAAUCAAGAAGGACCGAACGGCUAAUUUGAGUAAUAUUGAAGAAAAGAAGGAGCGACAACUUGUAGAAAUUCAAAAAAUAAGAAUUCAAAUUAACAAACAUUUAGACAAACUUGAAAAAGAAAUAAUACAAGAUCUUGAGAAAAAAGUGAGUCAAUGUAAAAAGAAUAUUCAGAAGCUGUUAUCAGAAGUUGAAGAAAAGAAACUUGAUAACAGAAUAUCAGAACAAUCUCCAAUCAGUCAAACAACAUGCUUCCGAUCUUCAAACAUUUCUUGUGAUGAGAAAUAUUGAAGUGAAGGUUUUUGAAAAUGAACAAUAUUUACAAUCGUUGGUUGAAACUAACAAAUUGGACCAUGUAGACCUGACUUGUAAAGUAGACCCAGGGAUGCUUAGUAUCUUCGACAGUUUGAAAACUUUUGGAGCAAUUGAAAUUGACAAGAAGUCGAGUAGCAUUCGUUUAAUCAGAGAGAAAGAUAAACAAGCACAGUUACAAGUAACGCCAACGAAGACCAUAGACGACUUGAAGUUGAUUCUACAAAAGACAAUUACAACAGGCGGGGAGAAUAUUAGAGGUUGUUGCAUGUCAGUUAAUGGCGAAUUUUUCUUCACCGACUAUUACUUACGGAAAGGCUAAAGUCAUUGCGUCGGAUGGUAAAUUCAAAUUUGAUAUGUUGCUAGAUCCUAGUUAUGGGUAUGACAUAACAAUAAUUAAUGAGAAAACAAUCGCUAUCACAUCUGGAUCUUCUAGUGAGCACAUCGGUAUUGACAUAAUAGACAUCGAGAGCCGAAAGAAAAUCAAAUUCAUCAGCCUUCCUGAUCGUCCAUGGGGAAUCACACGUGAUCAAGACUCGCUGUUUGUUUGUGUUGAAAGACGUGGUAUAUAUAGAGUAAACACCUUGGAUUAUACUACCUCUCACUUGAUUAGUUGUAACUUAUCAGGAUUGACUUACAUAUCUGUAUUCGCCGAGAAGAUAUACUACACUGACUGGUAUGAUCACAGUGUAGUUUGUUGUGAUCGUAAUGGAUCACAUGUUUGGAGGUUUAAAGAAGAAUCAGUUUUGAAAAUCCGAGAGGCAUCACUGUAGAUAAUGAUGGUCACGUGUUCGUUGUUGGAGAGCUUGUCGUCGAAUGUGGUCAUUAUAUCAAACGAUGGAAAACACCACAGACAA
rnacentral:lncRNA from 1 species